rnacentral:rRNA from 1 species
UGCGUAGGCGGGCUAAUAAGUCAGUGGUGAAAUCUUCCGGCUCAACCGGGAACCUGCCAUUGAUACUGUUAGUCUUGAGUACGGCUGAGGUAGGCGGAAUGUGUAAUGUAGCGGUGAAAUGCUUAGAUAUUACACAGAACACCAAUUGCGUAGGCAGCUUACUAGACCGUAACUGACGCUGAGGCACGAAAGCGUGGGUAGCGAAUAGGAUUAGAUACCCUGGUAGUCC